AUUGAACGCUGGCGGCAGGCCUAACACAUGCAAGUCGAACGAGUGGAGGACGGGUGAGUAAUGCUUGGGAAUCUGGCUUAUGGAGGGGUAUAACGACGGGAAACUGUCGCUAAUGCCGCGUACCGUAGGAUGGGCCCAAGUGGGAGUAGGUAGUUGGUGGGGUAAUGGCCCACCAAGCCGACGAUCUCUAGCUGGUCUGAGAGGAUGACCAGCCACACCGGGACUGAGACACGGCCCGGACUCCUACGGGAGGCAGCAGUGGGGAAUAUUGCGCAAUGGGGGCAACCCUGACGCAGCCAUGCCGCGUGAGUGAAGAAGGCCUUCGGGUUGUAAAGCACUUUCAGCGGGGAGGCGUUACCCGCAGAAGAAGCACCGGCUAACUCCGUGCCAGCAGCCGCGGUAAUUC
rnacentral:rRNA from 1 species